UGAAAAUGGCCAAGUCAGUACAACAGAUACAUCACCAGUGAUCCUGGUUCAAUUCCCGCGACCGUCUGUAAGGAGUGUGUACGUUCUCCCCGUGACUGCAUGGGUUUCCUCUGGGUGCUCUGGUUUCCUUCUACAAUCCAAAGACAUACGGGUUGAUGGCCUUCCCUCAGGAACAUUACCCUUCAGUGAGGAGCAGCAACCUCCCUACCUGCAACGACGAGCUCAAGGCUGAAGGAGUUCUGCCCUGCCCGGUUGGUGGCAAUGCACGUG